rnacentral:misc_RNA from 1 species
GCAAACUUGGUCAUUUAGAGGAAGUAAAAGUCGUAACAAGGUUUCCGUAGGUGAACCUGCGGAAGGAUCAUUAACGAGUUUUGACCGCGCUGUGCGUCCCUCGGGACUUGCACGCGCUGGCCACUCUCAUCCUCACACCUGUGCACCUCGACGCCGCGCAAUUGACGCGCGCGCGCCGCCUCUUUUUUUACUCAGUCUCAGAAUGUUACAUAUUGUAUAAAAAUACAACUUUCAACAACGGAUCUCUUGGCUCUCGCAUCGAUGAAGAACGCAGC